GAUAUUUUAGCUCAGUCGGUUAGAGCGUGGUGCUGAUUAACACCAAGGCCGCGGGUUCGAUCCCCACUCG
rnacentral:tRNA from 1 species